rnacentral:misc_RNA from 1 species
AAGUCGUAACAAGGUUUCCGUAGGUGAACCUGCGGAAGGAUCAUUAACACGUAUCCCGUGAACCUUCAGUGCGCUCGCACUUUCUUAGAAAAGGUAGCAAUCCCUGGUAAAUCAUUGCCGAACAGUUUUGAUUCAGGGACUUCUGCGUAGACUGUGCUUGAGCGUGAGGCAAGUGUGGUGUCUGAAAGUGUCACCAGCUCUGUACGAAUGGCGCAGUCACGAUCGCUAGAGGGCGACCGGGUCACUGGGCGCGAGCCCCCCUCGUCACCUUUGCAUGAAAACGGGCCUGCGCUUAAUUGUGCGGCCACCAAACUCGAACAACUGUUAACAAUGGAUAUCUUGGUUCUC